CAGUGCCUGAAGGUUCCUGUCAGUCAACCACUCACUAACACUUGAUGUUACCAGGCUUUCUAAUUUGUCCUAAUCAGGCUUCUGACCAACCAGAGAAGUCAUUCACUACUACCAAUGAGCAAGUAUUCUUACCUCAGGCUACUUCUCUUUACAUACUAAGUGGACGAGCACCUACAACCUGAGCUCUGACCUUUGGGAGGAUUUCUCCUUGGAGGAUUACCUGUCUUUCAGCACCACCUGGACUGCACCUGCACCAGAGCUCUUUCCUGAGUCCAUUCAAAGCUGGCAGCAUCACCUGGUAUAUGGGUCAGGUGAGUAUUUCCAAGUUUCAAAUAUGCAUCCUCCAGAACCCAAAUAUGAUUA